rnacentral:rRNA from 1 species
GACGAACGCUGGCGGCGUGCUUAACACAUGCAAGUCGAACGUGAUUUUUGUGGAAAUUCUUUCGGGAAUGGAAAUGAAAUGAAAGUGGCGAACGGGUGAGUAACACGUGAGCAACCUACCUUACACAGGGGGAUAGCCGUUGGAAACGACGAUUAAUACCGCAUGAGACCACAGAAUCGCAUGAUAUAGGGGUCAAAGAUUUAUCGGUGUAAGAAGGGCUCGCGUCUGAUUAGCUAGUUGGAAGGGUAAAGGCCUACCAAGGCGACGAUCAGUAGCCGGUCUGAGAGGAUGAACGGCCACAUUGGAACUGAGACACGGUCCAAACUCCUACGGGAGGCAGCAGUGGGGAAUAUUGCACAAUGGGGGGAACCCUGAUGCAGCGACGCCGCGUGAGCGAAGAAGGUUUUCGAAUCGUAAAGCUCUGUCCUANGAGAAGAUAANGACGGUNUC